GUGGGGAAUCUUGCGCAAUGGGCGAAAGCCUGACGCAGCCAUGCCGCGUGAAUGAUGAAGGUCUUAGGAUUGUAAAAUUCUUUCACCGGGGACGAUAAUGACGGUACCCGGAGAAGAAGCCCCGGCUAACUUCGUGUCAGCAGCCGCGGUAAUACGAAGGGGGCUAGCGUUGCUCGGAAUUACUGGGCGUAAAGGGCGCGUAGGCGGACAGUUUAGUCAGAGGUGAAAGCCCAGGGCUCAACCUUGGAAUUGCCUUUGAUACUGGCUGUCUUGAGUACGGGAGAGGUGAGUGGAACUCCGAGUGUAGAGGUGAAAUUCGUAGAUAUUCGGAAGAACACCAGUGGCGAAGGCGACUCACUGGCCCGUUACUGACGCUGAGGCGCGAAAGCGUGGGGAGCAAACAGGAUUAGAUACCCCUGUAGUCC
rnacentral:rRNA from 1 species